ACAACAAGCGGGAUAUCCAAUAAAAUUGGAACGAUACAGAGAAGGUUAGUAUGCAAUCCCUACGCAAGGAUGACAAGUAAAAAUCGAAAAAUGUCCUAGCUAAUA